rnacentral:rRNA from 1 species
UACGUAGGGCGCAAGCGUUAAUCGGAAUUACUGGGCGUAAAGCGUGCGCAGGCGGCUUUGCAAGACAGAUGUGAAAUCCCCGGGCUCAACCUGGGAACUGCAUUUGUGACUGCAUGGCUAGAGUACGGUAGAGGGGGAUGGAAUUCCGCGUGUAGCAGUGAAAUGCGUAGAUAUGCGGAGGAACACCGAUGGCGAAGGCAAUCCCCUGGACCUGUACUGACGCUCAUGCACGAAAGCGUGGGGAGCAAACAGG